UAUCUUCAUACCAAAUUUUAUCAAAAUCUGUUCAGUGGUUUAGGCGUGAAAGCGUAACAGACGACAGACAGAGUUACUUUCGCAUUUAUAAUAUUAGUAGGGAUAACGCACAAUGUGUCGCGAUGUCAAUGUAUUUGUAUUAUAUAUAUGCGUGUAUUAUUUAUUCUUGCGUUCUUAAUAGGGCCGCGUUUUCUACUGUUAAUUAAUUGUGCUCUUCGCCCUCGAAGACAAUAAUUUUUUGCAAUAUAAAUGUGCAUAAAUAAAUAUAUUUAUAUAAUCAUAAUAAUAAUGGUAAUUUAUAUUUAUCAUGAUUUCCAGAUCAGCUUCAUUGUGGCAAUAAAUAUAAAAUAUGUGGAUUUGAGAAGAUUUAAUGUAAUGAAAGAAACUACACCAUAUCACAAAAUGCCGCAUUUGGUCUACAACAAGGCUUGAUUAGCUACAUUAUUCAUAUGAUAUAUAUUCUGUAAGUCAGCAGGAGACACGAAAAAGUCUACUUUAUAAUACUUCUACUAAAUACUAUGAGAAUUAC